UACGAAGGGAGCUAGCGUUGUUCGGUAUUACUGGGCGUAAAGCGCACGUAGGCGGAUUGCUAAGUCAGGGGUGAAAUCCCGGGGCUCAACCUCGGAACUGCCUUUGAUACUGACAAUCUCGAGUCCGAUAGAGGUGGGUGGAAUUCCUAGUGUAGAGGUGAAAUUCGUAGAUAUUAGGAAGAACACCGGUGGCGAAGGCGGCCCACUGGAUCGGUACUGACGCUGAGGUGCGAAAGCGUGGGGAGCAAACAGG
rnacentral:rRNA from 1 species